UAUAUACUUCCUCCGUUCCAAAUUACUCGUCGCUGAAAUGGAUGCAUCUAGAACUAAAAUACAUGUAGAUACAUCCAUACGUGCGACAAGUAAUUCUGAACGGAGGGAGUAAUAG
rnacentral:pre_miRNA from 1 species